CCAUAUUUCGCAUAUGAAUAUGAAAGGCGGAAGAGGAAGUAGUUCCUUCCAAUGUAGACAAGUUCCUGUUAAUGAUAAACUACAAAUUUACCCUAAAUUACUAAAAUAUCGAUAUUUUAAUAUGAGAAUCGAUUCUAGAACAUAAAUGACUGGUAUCGGCGGAAUCGAUAUUUCAGUAUCGAUCCGCACAUCACUAGUUUACACCACUAAUUGACCUGACCCCAUUCACGGGGGAGGAUGUUGGAGCAACUGGAGAGAACCCACACAAGCAUAACGAGAGCAUCUCCCAGCCGGAUGGUGGAUUUAAACUCCAAACUUUCUUGCUGAGAGGCAACAGUGCUAACCACUGCACCACCAUGCUGCCCUCUAAAAGCUACUUUCAGUUGCUGCCUCAUACAACAGGUGUCACCACAGCGGGUAGCUCGACAUAUUUGAUUUGGCAGAUUUUUACACCAGAUGCCUUUCCUGAUGCAAGCCUGAAGGGAUGUGUGUUUUCCCCAGUGUUAAACCAGUGAGCUUUUACUUCUUUAGCAGUUGUGUAAUCCACUGCACUAAGGAGCCAUUCAUGCGUCGAGCCCGUCUCUGUCAUUAUGUGUAGUAUUACCAGUGAUUAAUCUUUUUUUUUUUUUUUUGCAUUACAGAAAAAGUUGAAGGUUUUCUUGUUUGUUUCAUUCAGCACAAACGGGUGAGGAUGCUGCACUAAGCUCACAGGGUGCUUUCACACUCAAAAUUGCUACCUAUCAAAAUUAAAGGUGUAAAAUCUUGGUUCGGUGAAAAGUGAUAAUUUCAGUCUAGAUACAGUUCUGUCAUAGUGUGGUUUAUUUCGAGUGUAAAAAAAUUGUCCCAGCUGAAAAAAGAGAAAUGAGCUGGGAGGUUGAUAGAGUUAGUAAAUCCAUAAUGAGGUCAACAGAGAAAAAAUAGCAUCACUUUUUAUCUAUUUUCUCAGAGGAUAAGAAAGAGAGAAUUUCAGAAGAUGGGAAAGGUAUAGCUGAAGUAUUAGAGGUGUAUAAUAAACAGUACAUUAUCAAUAUCAGUAUCAAUAUUAGGAGACGGUCGCCCUGUUCUCUAAUGAUAAAAACACAAAGGAGGCACUAUAUGCCAAGUUAAGUUUCCAUACUUGUAACAUGAACCCAAAACUAAUGAGAUGUUUGAAAUGUAAUGAAAAUGCAAACUGUGUUUUGGGCUCUUUUGGAAAAAAGGCUCUUGGAUUGUUUACAACAUGCCAAAAUGACUUGUCUAGCCACCCAGUAUCCAUUUUAUACAUGUAGCUAUACACAAAGGUAUCCAUCCACGCAG
ensembl:lncRNA